GUCUGUUCAGUCUGCAAUAUAAUUUGGCAUAAAGCUGCAGCCACAAGUGGGCUCUGCUGCUGGAUGUGGAUCAGGCUCUCUGGAAUGUCUGUUUGCACACUUGACCUUCACAGAACAUUUCCAGGUGGAGUUUGUCUCCUUCGAUCCAAUGGGUCCAGCCUCUGUUCUUCUUUUCUCCCUUCUGGAUACAGGUGAGCCUGUCAUUGUCCCAGAUAACCAAACUCUUGCAUUUUCUGUUGUCCAGGCCUCUGUUAUCUUCAUCAAAUUC
rnacentral:lncRNA from 1 species